GAUGAACGCUAGCUACAGGCUUAACACAUGCAAGUCGAGGGGAAACGACAUUGGAAGCUUGCUUCCUUUGGGCGUCGACCGGCGCACGGGUGAGUAACGCGUAUCCAACCUUCCCGCAAGUAAGGGAUAACCCGUAGAAAUGCGGCCUAAUACCUUAUGUUUUCCUUAGAGGGCAUCUGAUGAGGAACAAAGAUCCGUCGCUUGCGGAUGGGGAUGCGUCUGAUUAGUUAGUCGGCGGGGUAACGGCCCACCGAGACGACGAUCAGUAGGGGUUCUGAGAGGAAAGUCCCCCACAUUGGAACUGAGACACGGUCCAAACUCCUACGGGAGGCAGCAGUGAGGAAUAUUGGUCAAUGGGCGGAAGCCUGAACCAGCCAAGUAGCGUGCAGGACGACGGCCCUAUGGGUUGUAAACUGCUUUUAGGCGGGGGUAAAGGAGCGGACGCGUUCCGCUUUUGCAAGUACCGCCAGAAAAAGGACCGGCUAAUUCCGUG
rnacentral:rRNA from 1 species